rnacentral:rRNA from 1 species
UUCCGGUUGAUCCUGCCGGAGGACAUUGCUAUUGGGAUUCGAUUUAGCCAUGCUAGUCGAGCGAGUUCAGACUCGCGGCGAAUAGCUCAGUAACACGUGGCCAAGCUCCCCUUCAGUCAGCGAUACCCUCGGGAAACUGAGGUUAACAGCUGAUACAAAACGCCAGCUGGAAUGCGGCGUUUCAGAAAGACAUCGCUGAAGGAUGCGGCUGCGGCCGAUUAGGUAGACGGUGGGGUAACGGCCCACCGUGCCAGUAAUCGGCACGGGUGAUGAGAGUCAGAGCCCGGAGACGGAAUCUGAGACAAGAUUCCGGGCCCUACGGGGCGCAGCAGGCGCGAAACCUUUACACUGCACGGAAGUGCGAUAGGGGAAUCCCAAGUGCGAGGGCAUAUUAGCCCUCGCUUUUUUCGACUGUAAGGUGGUCGACGAAUAAGAGCUGGGCAAGACCGGUGCCAACCGCCGCGGUAAUACCGGCAGCUCAAGUGAUGUCCCAUAUUAUUGGGCCUAAAGCGUCCGUAGCUGGCCGACCAAGUCUACCGGGAAAUCCACCCGCCCAACGGGUGGGCGUCCGGUAGAAACUGGCUGGCUUGGAACCGGAAGGCUCAGAGAGUACGUCCGGGGUAGGAGUGAAAUCCCGUAAUCCCGGACGGACUACCGAUGGCGAAAGCACUCUGAGAAGACGGCUUCGACAGUGAGGGACGAAAGCUCGGGUCUCAAACCGGAUUAGAUACCCGGGUAGUC